CSGCCGCCAUGGCGGCCGCGGGAAUUCGAUUGGAAACAGAUGCUAAUACCGCAUAACAACGUUGUUCGCAUGAACAACGCUUAAAAGAUGGCUUCUCGCUAUCACUUCUGGAUGGACCUGCGGUGCAUUAGCUUGUUGGUGGGGUAAUGGCCUACCAAGGCGAUGAUGCAUAGCCGAGUUGAGAGACUGAUCGGCCACAAUGGGACUGAGACACGGCCCAUACUCCUACGGGAGGCAGCAGUAGGGAAUCUUCCACAAUGGGCGCAAGCCUGAUGGAGCAACACCGCGUGAGUGAAGAAGGGUUUCGGCUCGUAAAGCUCUGUUGUUAAAGAAGAACACGUAUGAGAGUAACUGUUCAUACGUUGACGGUAUUUAACCAGAAAGUCACGGCUAACUACGUGCCAGCAGCCGCGGUAAUACGAUAAUCACUAGUGAAUUCGCGGCCGCCUGCAGGUCGACCAUAUGGGAGAGCUCCCAACGCGU
rnacentral:rRNA from 2 species